rnacentral:tRNA from 1 species
GCCCUGGUUAGCUCAGUUGGUAGAGCGCUACACUUGAAUUGGAGAGGUUCCCGGUUCGAUACCAGGACCAGGCG